rnacentral:rRNA from 1 species
AACAAAUCGAGUGGCGUAAGGGUGAGUAAUACAUUGAUAACCUGCCUCUGAGAUGAGAACAACAACGUUUCGAGCAAUCGAAAUUACCGAAAGGGUUGCUAAUACUCAAUAAAACUAUUGAUGCUUCGGUGUUGAUGGUCAAAUAUGCAGAAUCGUAAGAUUCUAUUUGCUUAGAGAGGGGUCAAUGUCCUAUCAGCUAGUUGGGGGGGUAAUGGCCUACCAAGGCGAAGACGGGUAGCCGGCCUGAGAGGGUGGUCGGCCACACUGGGACUGAGACACUGCCCAGACUCCUACGGGAGGCUGCAGUCGAGAAUCUUUCGCAAUGCCCGAAAGGGUGACGAAGCGACGCCGCGUGCGGGAAGAAGGCCCUCGGGUUGUAAACCGCUGUCGGGAGUUAAGAAAUGUAAGGAUGUUAAUAGCGUCCUUGCUUGACUAAGGCUCCGGAGGAAGCCACGGCUAACUCUGUGCCAGCAGCCGCGGUAAUACAGAGGCGGCAAGCGUUGUUCGGAAUUAUUGGGCGUAAAGAGCACGUAGGCGGCCGUGCAAGUCGGUUGUGAAAGCCUUCCGCUUAACGGAAGAACAGCAGCCGAUACUAUAUGGCUUGAGUACGGGAGGGGAGAGC